GAUUUGGUNAUGGGCGGAAGCCUGAACCAGCCAUGCCGCGUGCAGGAAGACGGCCCUACGGGUUGUAAACUGCUUUUAUACGGGAAUAAACCUUGGUACGUGUACCAAGCUGAAUGUACUGUAAGAAUAAGGAUCGGCUAACUCCGUGCCAGCAGCCGCGGUAAUACGGAGGAUCCAAGCGUUAUCCGGAUUUAUUGGGUUUAAAGGGUGCGUAAGUGGCCUGUUAAGUCAGGGGUGAAAGACGGUAGCUUAACUAUCGCAGUGCCCUUGAUACUGAUGGGCUUGAAUGAACUAGAGGUAGGCGGAAUGUGACAAGUAGCGGUGAAAUGCAUAGAUAUGUCACAGAACACCAAUUGCGAAGGCAGCUUACUAUGGUUUUAUUGACACUGAGGCACGAAAGCGUGGGGAUCAAACAGGAUUAGAUACCCUGGUAGUCCACGCCCUAAACGAUGAAUACUCGAUGUUGGCGAUAUACGGUCAGCGUCUAAGCGAAAGCGUUAAGUAUUCCACCUGGGGAGUACGCCCGCAAGGGUGAAACUCAAAAGAAUUGACGGA
rnacentral:rRNA from 1 species